ACCUAUUUCGAAUUUAAGGAAAUAGCCUUGCUGUCAAAUGAAGUGUCUUAUUUUUGAUGAAAUUCAUGGUUAUUAUCUGAUUUAAGUGUAUAAUACAAUAAACAAUAUGCCAAAAAGCCUAGUACACCACGAGGUAUUUGAAAGCAUCGCAUGUUAGCUGCUUUAGACAAUUUUUGUGAUCUGAACAAGGUUGUACAAUUUAGAAAAAUUAUAUACAUAUAAGCCCAUGUUAUUGAUUUUAUACUGAAAAUUAUGGAGCUAUUGAUGCAGAUGAUGAAGAAAAAUGAAAGUUUCAGGAAUUUUAGAAGAUUAAAAUAUUGAUGAAAUCGAGAAUCGUGAUGAACUGAUGGAUCAUGAGUAUUUAAUUUCUACACAUGAGGAUUCUGAUGCUUUUCAGGUUCCAAAUGUCAAUGCAGAUUUAAGUUCAGAGGAUAAUAACAAAUCAUUAGAUUCAAGCGAACUAAAUUUUGAUUUAGCGAAUUCAGAAUAGUCAAAUUCUGAUUUAACGGAUUCAUUAGAAGAGUAAAUUGAUGUCGUAGAAGAAUUACUUGAAGAUGAACCUGAUGAAAUGAAACAGCUGCGUAUUUUAGCUGUAAACAAAAUGUUGGAUCAGAACACUGUUGAUGUAAUACUUCAAAUUUUAGGUUGCUUGUACAACGUACACUGUCCAUACGGAAAAAGCAUUGAUGCACAUCAGAGCAAUAAUUGAAAAUGUUAAGGACCGUGGCAGACAUAGUAAAGAACGAAGUUAAAAAGAAUAACAAAUGUAUUGGGUUUUUAAUCAUAUUUGCGCUAAUAUUUGGCAACUGGACAAAAAAUAUA